AUACCACCCUUUAAUGUUUGAUGUUCUAACGUGGACCCGUGAUCCGGGUUGCGGACAGUGUCUGGUGGGUAGUUUGACUGGGGCGGUCUCCUCCUAAAGAGUAACGGAGGAGCACGAAGGUUGGCUAAUCCUGGUCGGACAUCAGGAGGUUAGUGCAAUGGCAUAAGCCAGCUUGACUGCGAGCGUGACGGCGCGAGCAGGUGCGAAAGCAGGUCAUAGUGAUCCGGUGGUUCUGAAUGGAAGGGCCAUCGCUCAACGGAUAAAAGGUACUCCGGGGAUAACAGGCUGAUACCGCCCAAGAGUUCAUAUCGACGGCGGUGUUUGGCACCUCGAUGUCGGCUCAUCACAUCCUGGGGCUGAAGUAGGUCCCAAGGGUAUGGCUGUUCGCCAUUUAAAGUGGUACGCGAGCUGGGUUUAGAACGUCGUGAGACAGUUCGGUCCCUA
rnacentral:rRNA from 1 species